AACACACAUGAUGAUUUUUUUUCAAAGGGACUUAAUGCUGAAGUGCCUGAUGUAUUUGACUAAACUGAUGUGU